UAACAGAACUGUGGGGACACAGGCAGAGAGCGUGAGCCGGGAAUGGAAAGACCGGUACAAGCGAGGUAGGAGAAGAGUUGGCAAAUCCGCUCUUUAAUCUGAAGACGUGAUGUGGACUGAAAAUAAGUAGGGAAGCACGUGAGCUGACUGUCAAGAAAAGCCGCUAUUGUUUGCAGGAUACCCGUACCGUGAACCGACACAGGUGGAUGAGGGGAGAAUCCUAAGGCCGACGGGAGAAGCAUUGUUAAGGAACUCGGCAAAAUGACUCCGUAACUUCGGGAGAGGGAGUGCCAGUAAGAUGGCCGCAGAGAAUUGGCCCAAGCAACUGUUUAGCAAAAACACAGGUCUAUGCAAAACCGAAAGGUGAGGUAUAUGGGCUGACGCCUGCCCGGUGCUGGAAGGUUAAGGGGAGAGGUUAGCGCAAGCGAAGCUUUGAACUUAAGCCCCAGUAAACGGCGGCCGUAACUAUAACGGUCCUAAGGUAGCGAAAUUCCUUGUCGGGUAAGUUCCGACCCGCACGAAAGGCGUAAUGAUUUGGGCACUGUCUCAACAAUGCACCCGGUGAAAUUGAAAUACCAGUGAAGAUGCUGGUUACCUGCGCCAGGACGGAAAGACCCCAUGGAGCUUUACUCCAGCUUGAUACUGGGAUUCGGUAUUGCAUGUACAGGAUAGGUGGGAGGCUAGGAAAUGGUAACGCCAGCUGCCAUGGGGCCAAUGUUGGGAUACCACCCUUGCAGUACUGGGUUUCUAACCAGCAGCCGUGAUCCGGCUGGGGGACAGUGUCAGGUGGGGAGUUUGACUGGGGCGGUCGCCUCCGAAAGGGUAUCGGAGGCGCUCAAAGGUUCCCUCAGAAUGGUUGGAAACCAUUCGAAGAGUGCAAAGGCAGAAGGGAGCUUGACUGCGACACCGACGGGUGGAGCAGGUACGAAAGUAGGACUUAGUGAUCCGGUGGUAUAAAGUGGGAUUGCCAUCGCUCAACGGAUAAAAGCUACCCUGGGGAUAACAGGCUUAUCACUCCCAAGAGUUCACAUCGACGGAGUGGUUUGGCACCUCGAUGUCGGCUCAUCGCAUCCUGGGGCUGAAGUAGGUCCCAAGGGUUGGGCUGUUCGCCCAUUAAAGCGGUACGCGAGCUGGGUUCAGAACGUCGUGAGACAGUUCGGUCCCUAUCCGGCGUGGGCGUAAGAUAUUUGAGAGGAGCUGUCCUUAGUACGAGAGGACCGGGAUGGACUGGCCGCUGGUGUAUCUGUUGUCUUACCAAAGGCAUAGCAGAGUAGCCAAGCCGGGAAGGGAUAAACGCUGAAGGCAUCUAAGCGUGAAGCCCCCCUCAAGAUGAGAUAUCUCAUAACGUCAAGUUAGUAAGACCCCUUGAAGACGACGAGGUAGAUAGGGCAGAGGUGGAAGUGUGGUAACACAUGGAGCUGACUGUUACUAAUAGGUCGAGGGCAUAACCU
rnacentral:rRNA from 1 species